rnacentral:rRNA from 1 species
GAAAGGCGCUUUUGCGUCACUGAUGGAUGGACCCGCGGUGCAUUAGCUAGUUGGUGAGGUAACGGCUCACCAAGGCCACGAUGCAUAGCCGACCUGAGAGGGUGAUCGGCCACACUGGGACUGAGACACGGCCCAGACUCCUACGGGAGGCAGCAGUAGGGAAUCUUCGGCAAUGGACGAAAGUCUGACCGAGCAACGCCGCGUGAGUGAAGAAGGUUUUCGGAUCGUAAAACUCUGUUGUUAGAGAAGAACAAGGAUGAGAGUAGAACGUUCAUCCCUUGACGGUAUCUAACCAGAAAGCCACGGCUAACUACGUGCCAGCAGCCGCGGUAAUACGUAGGUGGCAAGCGUUGUCCGGAUUUAUUGGGCGUAAAGCGAGCGCAGGCGGUUUCUUAAGUCUGAUGUGAAAGCCCCCGGCUCAACCGGGGAGGGUCAUUGGAAACUGGGAGACUUGAGUGCAGAAGAGGAGAGUGGAAUUCCAUGUGUAGCGGUGAAAUGCGUAGAUAUAUGGAGGAACACCAGUGGCGAAGGCGGCUCUCUGGUCUGUAACUGACGCUGAGGCUCGAAAGCGUGGGGAGCGAACAGGAUUAGAUACCCUGGUAGUCCACGCCGUAAACGAUGAGUGCUAAGUGUUGGAGGGUUUCCGC